rnacentral:rRNA from 1 species
CUGGCUCAGGACGAACGCUGGCGGCGUGCCUAACACAUGCAAGUCGAACGGAGUUGAGGAGCUUGCUCCUUAACUUAGUGGCGGACGGGUGAGUAACGCGUGAGUAACCUGCCUCUGAGAGGGGAAUAACGUUCUGAAAAGAACGCUAAUAC